GAUGAACGCUGGCGGCGUGCCUAAUACAUGCAAGUCGAGCGAACAGAUAAGGAGCUUGCUCCUUUGACGUUAGCGGCGGACGGGUGAGUAACACGUGGGUAACCUACCUAUAAGACUGGGAUAACUUCGGGAAACCGGAGCUAAUACCGGAUAAUAUUUCGAACCGCAUGGUUCGAUAGUGAAAGAUGGUUUUGCUAUCACUUAUAGAUGGACCCGCGCCGUAUUAGCUAGUUGGUAAGGUAACGGCUUACCAAGGCGACGAUACGUAGCCGACCUGAGAGGGUGAUCGGCCACACUGGAACUGAGACACGGUCCAGACUCCUACGGGAGGCAGCAGUAGGGAAUCUUCCGCAAUGGGCGAAAGCCUGACGGAGCAACGCCGCGUGAGUGAUGAAGGUCUUCGGAUCGUAAAACUCUGUUAUUAGGGAAGAACAUACGUGCAAGUAACUGUGCACGUCUUGACGGUACCUAAUCAGAAAGCCACGGCUAACUACGUG
rnacentral:rRNA from 1 species